UGAACGCUGGCGGUAGGCCUAACACUUGCAAGUCGAACGGCAGCACAGUAAGAGCUUGCUCUUACGGGUGGCGAGUGGCGGACGGGUGAGGAAUACAUCGGAAUCUACUUUUUCGUGGGGGAUAACGUAGGGAAACUUACGCUAAUACCGCAUACGACCUACGGGUGAAAGCAGGGGAUCUUCGGACCUUGCGCGAUUGAAUGAGCCGAUGUCGGAUUAGCUAGUUGGCGGGGUAAAGGCCCACCAAGGCGACGAUCCGUAGCUGGUCUGAGAGGAUGAUCAGCCACACUGGAACUGAGACACGGUCCAGACUCCUACGGGAGGCAGCAGUGGGGAAUAUUGGACAAUGGGCGCAAGCCUGAUCCAGCCAUACCGCGUGGGUGAAGAAGGCCUUCGGGUUGUAAAGCCCCUUUGUUGGGAAAGAAAAGCAGCAGGUUAAUACCCCGCUGUUCUGACGGUACCCAAAGAAUAAGCACCGGCUAACUUCGUG
rnacentral:rRNA from 1 species